GGCGCUAUAGCCAAGUGGUUACGGCGACAGAUUAGAAUGUGAUGUUUGAGAUUGGUAAUCUGUUCCUCUUUGAGGGCGCAGGUUCAAAUCCUGCUGGCGUCG